rnacentral:rRNA from 1 species
CCCCGGGCUCGAACGGCUGGUGAAGAGAUCCAGAGAUGGUGACGUCCUUCGGGACACCAGUCGAGGUGCUGCAUGGUUGUCGUCAGCUCGUGCCGUGAGGUGUCGGCUCAAGUGCCAUAACGAGCGCAACCCUUGCCGUCAGUUACCAGCACGUAGAGGUGGGGACUCUGGCGGGACUGCCACCGCAAGGUGAGAGGAAGGGGGGGAUGACGUCAAAUCAGCACGGCCCUUACGUCCGGGGCGACACACGUGUUACAAUGGCGGCCACAGAGGGGCACUACCUGGUGACAGGAUGGGAAUCUCGAAAAGCCGUCUCAGUCCGGAUCGGAGUCUGCAACCCGACUCCGUGAAGCUGGAUUCGCUAGUAAUCGCGCAUCAGCCAUGGCGCGGUGAAUACGUUCCCGGGCCUUGUACACACCGCCCGUCAAGCCAUGAAAGUCUGGGGCGCCUGAAGUUCGUGACCGCAAGGAGCGACCUAGGGCGAAACAGGUAAUUGGGGCUAAGUCGUAACAAGGUA